rnacentral:rRNA from 1 species
UACAGAGGGCCCAAGCGUUGUUCGGAAUCACUGGGCGUAAAGGGCGCGUAGGCGGAUCUUUAAGUCGGGGGUGAAAGCCUGAGGCUCAACCUCAGAAUUGCCUUCGAUACUGGAGAUCUUGAGACCGGAAGAGGUAAGUGGAACUGCGAGUGUAGAGGUGAAAUUCGUAGAUAUUCGCAAGAACACCAGUGGCGAAGGCGGCUUACUGGUCCGGUUCUGACGCUGAGGCGCGAAAGCGUGGGGAGCAAACAGG